rnacentral:rRNA from 1 species
AGCAGCCGCGGUAAUUCCAGCUCCAAUAGCGUAUAUUAAAGUUGUUGCAGUUAAAAAGCUCGUAGUUGAAUUUCGGGAUUGACGUGAUGGUCGUGCCUUACGGGGUAUGAACUGUCGCAGUUGAUUUCUCACCUUCUGGAGAAGCUCGAUGUCCUUAAUUGGGUGUCUUGCGGAACCAGGACCUUUACCUUGAAAAAAUUAGAGUGUUUAAAGCAGGCAUUUUGCUCGAAUACAUUAGCAUGGAAUAAUAGAAUAGGACGGCAUGGUUCUAUUUUGUUGGUUUCUAGGAUCACCGUAAUGAUUAAUAGGGAUAGUUGGGGGCAUUAGUAUUCAAUUGUCAGAGGUGAAAUUCUUGGAUUUAUUGAAGACUAACUACUGCGAAAGCAUUUGCCAAGGAUGUUUUCAUUAAUCAAGAACGAAAGUUAGGGGAUCGAAGACGAUCAGAUACCGUCGUAGUCUUAACCAUAAACUA